rnacentral:sRNA from 22 species
CAUUUAUAGUUUCAGACAUGGAAUCGCCGACAUCGGCGGUAGACGUAAAGCCUAAGCGGA